AACAUUAGAGUAAGCUUUCCAGCUGUUGCCUGAAUUAUGAGGGAUUUUUUUCAGGGGCGGGUAAACUUAGUAAAACACUAGGCAACAGUUUAACAUCCUUUCUACCCUUCAUCUCAGCCCAGACCUCAACACAGGCUUUCAACACUGCAAUCCUCAUGAAAAUAUGUUACGGUACCAAUCCAUUUCACCAUGGGGUGAUUUACAGCCCUGCAUCGUUCUCAACCCUUCACUGAGGGGACACUUACUACAAGUUCCUAAUGUCAUUUGUCUAACACAUGAUUCAAGUUCUCAAGUUCAGACUCCUGGUCCCAGGGUGAUACAAGGUGACUGGAGAAUGCAGAAGACUUGGCUGCAAGGCUGUUUUCACCUACUCUUGCAGUUCUGGUUAAUCUGAUGCAUGUGCAAAGGCAAAGUCAUUUUUUUGAAUUAAAAAAAAAAAAUGGUA